rnacentral:lncRNA from 10 species
GGAGUCUCGCUCUGUUGCCAGGCUGGAGUGCAAUGGCACGAUCUUGGCUCACCACAACCUCCGCCUCCCGGGUUCAAGAGAUUCUCCUGCCUCAGCCUCCCAAUAGCUGGGACUACAGACGCCCGCCACCACGCCCGGCUAAUUUUUUUGUAUUUUUAGUAGAGACAACGGGGUUUCACCGUGUUAGCCAGGAUGGUCUCGAUCUCCUGACCUCGUGAUCUGCCCGCCUUGGCCUCCCAAAGUGCUGGGAUUACAGGCGGACAGGUGAAACAGAUUAUGGAUAGCCAUACAAGGAGGUGUUAUGUGGUUAUUAAAAAUGAGGCAGCUUUUUCUUUUACCCAUAUAUGAAACCAUCUAUAACACGUAUUAAUGAAAAAAAAAAAAGGCAAAGUGAAAAACUGCAUAGUGUGCUGCCAUUAUGUGUAAAAAAUGCACUGAUUUUGACUUAUAGAAUAUCCCUGAAAGGACACUCAAGGAAGUAGAAAACAGUGACUGCUUCCUGGAUGAAGAGCUGGGACACAAUGGAGAAGACUAUUUACCUUUCUUUUUUCUUUUUUUGAGAUGGAGUCUCGCUCUGUUGCCAGGCUGGAGUGCAGUGGCACGAUCUCAGCUUACUGCAACCUCCGCCUCCGGGGUUCAAGAGAUUCUUGUGCCUCAACCUCCUGAGUAGCUGGGACUACAGGCGCCUGCCACCACGCCCGGCUAAUUUUUGUAUUUUUAGUAGAGACGGGGUUUCACCGUGUUAGUCAGGAUGGUCUCGAUCUCCUGACCUCGUGAUCCUCCCGCCUAGGCCUCCCAAAGUGCUGGGAUUACAGGCGACAGCCACUGCGCCCGGCCGAGACUUACUUUUCAAUGUACUUUAGCCCUUUUAGAAUUGUACAUAUAUCAUUUAUUCAAGAGGCAGAUUUUAAACGUUUUUGUAAAAAGCUAAAUAACACCCAG